UGGCUCAAUCAGUAGAUUUGCAUGGUCAUGACGCCUGGGAAUUCGCAUGCAAUUAAUGAUCCAAAUCACGUGAGUAGUAAUUUCUGAGGCUUACCAAUGCACAUGAAUAAGGCCAAAGAUUCUUUAAAAUAAUAUUUGAAAAUACCAAGUUCAUCCCUCUCUUUACUUACCGUCUUUCGACCGCCGCGCCGGAGGUUCCCUCGGCGACGGAGAUACCAUAAAAUCUCAAACAGAAACUGUAUUUCUACCCUAUUCUUUCCCCUAAAUCCAUAUAUGGCCAUGAAAAGCUCUAAAAACAACUUGAAUCGUUCCAAUCGAAAGCGCUCAGUCAAGAACCCUAACAUGUCAAAGUUAAAUUAAACGACAUAAAAACAAGGAUUCUCUCGCAAACCAUGGGGUUAAUGUUGUCAAAGAAGAUCUACUACACAAUGAUGAUUAAUUUUGAGGCAAACAGAGAAGAAAUUUUACCUCCGAAACGGAGAACUGUUCUGGUGAAUGUUGACGAAAUGUGAAGGAAAAUCACGUGAACAAACAAGGUUAAGGGUUAUAUCGGUGGGAUUGGAUUUGUGAGUUUGAAUGAAGUUAGUAAAUUAUGCCAUCUUCUUUUACAGGGCAAUGUGCAAGUGGAAAUCUUGUUGAAAUUCUGUUGUCGACUGUCCAGUUCGACCUGCAAGAUUGUUUUUUUCUACACUCUUUCAAUUCUGUUAAUUGCUAGUUUGGUUUAAUGUUGUGGAAAGGUCAUGGUUUGUGGCUUGCUUGGGAUAUGUUAUGCAGCCUGUUUCUAGACCUUAUCCAGGUCUGAUAUGCUGUAUGCGCUUGGGCUAUUUGGGAAUGCUAGCAUGGUGAUGCAAUGUUGUAUGGUAUAGGUUUGUCAUGUACGUGUUCAUGGACUGUUUACAAUUUGGUUUACAGCCUGCAUAAAGUUAAUAGGUUGAUUUUUGUAGGAUGAAUGGCUUUUAGGUUAAGGCUACUAGGUUAUGGCUUAUUUGUUGGUGUAAGCCCUAGAUGCCAAUACUUUUCGUACUUGUAUCGAAUUACUUAUUAAUAAUAAAAGGUUUUUUUUUUAAUUAUGUUUGUUUAA